GGGUCACUCACUCAUUCACUCAGAAAAUCCCUUACAACCUCCCCGUUUAAUCUCUAAUAACAGCUACGUGAGCCCAGCCCUGCUGGAACAGCUUUGCAAGAUUUCACUAAUCCUUGAAACAUCCCAUGAGGAACAUGUUGUCUCCAGCUUCCUUUACGGAUGAGGGAACUUCCAAAGGUGUGAACUCGGGCUCUGAGGAGUGUCACUUGCCUGAGGACCAGUGGGAGACUGGAGCCCAGGUGUGUGACACAGAGCCCAGGAGCUUCUCCACUGUGUCGAAGGCGACAUCAGGGUGACAAAGACGGGUGCUGGAGGAGCACGGGGCACCACAUGGACAGAGAUGAGGGCCUGCAGGGAGCCGCUCUGCCUUCCCACAGACCUCAGUGGCCGUGCUCCUGUCCCCGGGUGGAAACACUGGUUCCCUGCCCAGGGAUUGAGAGCCCAGAGGGAACCCUGCAGAUGCCCUGCGGCCACUGCUCCCCGGCCAGCUGUGCACUGGGCCUCCACCUCCCGGCUCCACGCUCUCCUCCCACCCCAGCAGGAAGGGCAGACGCCAGAGGGGCUGUGCUAGAGGAGGCAGUGCGGGGUCUUCCCUCUGCUCAGCACCCCUAGCAGGAGGAGGGGAGCGGGGAGGAGAGGCUGAGAUGGAGAGACCUUGAAGAUAGAGACAGCCAGAUGGGCUGAUGGGACACACAGGGGCCCCAAGGGGGUCCCAAAGGCUUCUGGAGGAAUGAAUAAGUAAGACAGAAGGAAGUGGGCCCUGCGAAGAAAGACAGACACA